GCAGUUUAUUGUGCAGCAAACACCCACAUCCUGAACUCUCUCUGAUCUCUGCUACGUCAGCUGAGCGCUAAUUAACACAGUGUAGGAAUCCAUGGCUACAUGAGAGAGAAGCAGCAGGCAGGAUAACAUACAGGGACACAAGCAACUGAGUAUGUUUCAGAGCUAUUGCUUUUCCUAGGAGGUUACCCUGAGGUCCAAGCCCCAGGGUGGGGACAGACCAUCUUUACUUAUUCCUCCUCCUCCCAAAAUAGUGCCUGUAAGCAGCAGGAUAGCCAUGGUUAAGAGCGUACUGUUCACACAGGUGGAAGUCCUCACAGAUCUCCCUCUGACGUUCCUGAGGUGCCUUAUUACGUUCCCUGAUCCUCUCCUGAAGAACAGCUCUUAGUCCCGUGUCAUCUCGUAUGAAGCCAUUGGCCCUUUGCCUGUUGAGGAAGGGGUUGAGAUACUCAUGGGAUUCCAUGCUCUCGUGGGACUCAUAGCAAGUAGCGGCCAUGACCAAGACGGCCAGGAGCACAAGGACGAUGAGAGCACGCAUUGUGCAAAGACUCUCUCACUCUGUCUCUUGCUGUGCCUCACUCUCUUCCCACUGAAGGCAGACAGAAA
rnacentral:lncRNA from 1 species